AUUGAACACUGGCGGCAUGCCUUACACAUGCAAGUCGAACGCGAAAGGGGGGCAACUCCUGAGUAGAGUGGCGCACGGGUGAGUAAUGCAUCGGAACGUGUCCUGUAGCGGGGGAUAACCUAGCGAAAGCUAGGCUAAUACCGCAUACGUCCUACGGGAGAAAGUGGGGGAUCGUAAGACCUCACACUACAGGACCGGCCGAUGCCGGAUUAGCUAGUUGGUGGGGUAAAAGCCUACCAAGGCGACGAUCCGUAGCUGGUCUGAGAGGAUGAUCAGCCACACUGGGACUGAGACACGGCCCAGACUCCUACGGGAGGCAGCAGUGGGGAAUUUUGGGCAAUGGGGGAAACCCUGAUCCAGCCAAGCCGCGUGAGUGAAGAAGGCCUUCGGGUUGUAAAGCUCUUUCGGCCGGGACGAAAUCGCACGCGUGAAUAUCGCGUGUGGAUGACGGUACCGGAAGAAGAAGGACCGGCUAACUACGUGCCAGCCGCCGCGGUAA
rnacentral:rRNA from 1 species